GACGAACCGUGCGAACGUUAUUCGGAAUCACUGGGCUUAAAGCGCGUGUAGGCGGAUGGGGACGUCGGUCGCUGAAAUCCCCCGGCUCAACCGGGGAACGGGCACCGAAACGCCCCGUCUCGAGGGACGUAGGGGGACCUGGAACUUCCGGUGGAGCGGUGAAAUGCGCAGAUAUCUGCAGGAACACCCGUGGCGAAAGCGGCGCGCUGGACCACUACUGACGCUGAGGAACGAAAGCUAGGGGAGCAAACAGG
rnacentral:rRNA from 1 species